GCUAUUUUUAUGAUUCCCACAAAUCCACCACCAACAUUCAGAAAGCCAGAACUUUGGUCCGAUGAUUUCACCGAUUUUGUUAAAAAGUGUUUGGUGAAGAAUCCUGAGCAGAGAGCUACUGCAACACAACUUUUACAGCAUCCUUUUAUCAAGAAUGCAAAACCUGUAUCAAUAUUAAGAGACCUGAUCACAGAAGCUAUGGAGAUCAAAGCUAAAAGACAUGAGGAACAGCAACGAGAAUUGGAAGAGGAAGAAGAAAAUUCGGAUGAAGAUGAGCUGGAUUCCCACACCAUGGUGAAGACUAGUGUGGAGAGUGUGGGCACCAUGCGGGCCACAAGCACGAUGAGUGAAGGGGCCCAGACCAUGAUUGAACAUAAUAGCACCAUGUUGGAAUCCGACUUGGGGACCAUGGUGAUAAACAGUGAGGAUGAGGAAGAAGAAGAUGGAACUAUGAAAAGUAUGUGGC
rnacentral:sRNA from 1 species